UGAUGCAAGGAUGACCUACCGCACUACUCUAGAUCUCCUCUUCAAAAUGAGGACAUUUGUCCCCAACUACAAAUGUGACACCCAGAAAACCCUCAUAUCCACCAUUGGGGGACUUGGCCAUGAUACCACCUUCCAUAUGGCAGACACAUUAGGUCUCUACAAGAUUCCACAGGUAAGAGGUAUGAAGGGGUGAAUGAGAAUUUUUUCUUCCUGCCUCUAUGGGUUGCUUCCAUGUUUGUUUUACACAGGGCGGACCUAUUGGGAAGUAUUCUAGCCAGUAGUUUUACUCAGAACAGACUUAUCAAAAUUAAUGCAUCUAGCUUAGUCAUGAUCCUUAAUUUAAAAUUUAGAUCUAUACAAGCCUGCAUCUUCAUCCCAUAUUCCUUGUAGAUUGCUUUUUCUGUUUUAUAUCUAGGGAUGUGAGAUUGAACUGCUCACAGCUCAAAUCAAAAUGUGCAAUCAGAAAAAGAAAGCUUAGAAUUUGUGGAAUAAAAAGCCAAAUGGUACAGAGAGAAUGUUUUCCAUACGAUUUGAGAUUAUAUUCACAUUUUCUUUCAGUUUGCAUAUGGUUCAUAUCCCUCAGCAGAGAGUGAUACAAGACAGGUUCCUUCUUUUUAUCACAUGGUGCCCAGUGAAGCCCACCAGUUUCUUGGGAUUAUCCGCUUGCUUAAGCAUUUUGGAUGGACAUGGAUCGGACUCUUUGCUCUGAAUGACAACAGUGGGGAACAUUUCUUGCAGAACCUCGAACCAUUGCUUUCUGAAAAUGGAAUUUGCUCAGCUUUCACACAAAAAAUCCCAAAACAAGUCCACUAUGAUAAUGUGGAUGAAAUGCAUGAUAUAGCCUUGAAUAUCUAUGCACAAAUCAGAAAUAAUAAAGUCACUACAUUUAUUGUUUAUGGAGAAUCUCUGGCAAUUAUAGCACUGAGAAUUGUUAUAUAUCUGCCAGAUCCUACAAAUAAGAAAAGCACAUCAUUUAAAAAGGUAUGGAUCUUUACAGCACAGACUGAUUUCAUAACUAUGGGUUUUAGUAAGGUUUGGAGUGUCCUGCUCUUCCAGGGUUCCCUUUCCUUCACAAUCCACUCACAAAAUCUUCCAGCAUUCAAGGAAUUUCUUCACAGCAUAAAGCCUUCCUUGACACAAGGAGAUGGUUUCAUCAAAGUCUUCUGGGAGCAAGCAUUUGACUGUGUAUUUCCAAAUCUUGAUGUGCCAAUGGAGUUCAGUGGCAUGUGUUCUGGAGAGGAGAGGUUGCAGAGUCUUCCAAGGUCUGUGUUUGAAAUGAGCAUGACUGGUCACAGCUACAGCAUCUAUUAUGGUGUCUAUGCUGUGGCUCAUGCCUUGCAUAACAUUUACUCACCCAGAUCCAAGCAGAGAGCAAUGGCAAAAAGUGAAAGAUUAAAACUUCAGGACCUGGAGCCUUGGCAGGUAUUGUUCUGAGAAUGAAGAGAAAAAAUAUCAUUAUCUGCAUGACUUUAUAUACCACUGGAACUUAAGACAUUUCUACUUGGUUAUCUAAUAAAACUAUUAUUAUUUAGAAGUCAUCUGAAGGCAGCCCUGUAUCAGGAAGUUUUUAAUGUUUGAUUAUAUUUUAAUAUGUGUUGGAAGUCUCCCAGAGUGGAUGGGGCGACCUUGCCAGAUGGUUAGGGUAUAUAUAAUAAAUGAUGAUUAUGAUUAUAAGAUAGUAUUCCAGAAAAUUAUCAAGAAAUUUAAUUCAGACUCAGAAACUGCUGCUAAGACUACAAUAGCUAAGAAUAUCUGAAUGGUUGGAGAAAAUUUAAUCCAUAGUAACUAUGAUUACACCAACUUAUAAACCAGCCUAACAGCUCUAUGGAAAAAAACAUAAUUUUUUGUUAUAUUUUGGAAGAAGAAGUUCAGUUAUAAUGUCCAAGCUUAUGCUGCUUUCAACCUCUAGUAAUUGUAUUUAUUUAGGCUGCCCUUAAUUUCUUUUAUUUAUUGUUAAAAGAAAAAAAUAAGGACUUUAUCAAAUUAGGAAUCAGAAGUUCUGUUUAAAUGGUAUUGCAAAUUGUAUUCACUGAAAAAAAAAUAAUGUUUGCAUCUUAAAUUGUGUACUUUUCUCCAAAUAAUAUUUUUCUUAGAGUUCUUCACAAUUCAAUAAUAUAACAGCUACAAAAACUACAGUAAAACAGGAAGAAUACAGAGUCCUUUCCUAGAGGCAAUUCACAGCUCUCACCUGAGAUCCCUCCUAUUUCCUCCCUUCCUCUCACUUUGGGGGCUAAUGCUUCCCUGUCUCCCACCUAGGGCCCUCCAUCACCACCCCUAUGAAUAGUUAAUCCCUAGACCUUAACAAGGGCCCCAAAUAUAGGACCUCACAAGAAAAAAAGAAAAGAGGGAAAGGAGAAAAUAAAGGGAAUAUUAGAGAUGAAUAAAAAGGGCUUCCAAUGCAUAAUAAAGUCUAUCUGUUGUGUCAAAAUCACAGAUAUUUUGCACAUGUUCUUUGUUAACUGAAGCUAUGUUACUAUAUCUAAAUAAGCUUUAUGAAGAAAUGUUUCUGUAAACCAUGGCAUUUUAUUCAAAAUCUCAUUUAUGCUAUUUCCCAUUCAACUCCAUUUUCUCUUUCUAUUAGCUACACCCUGUUCUUCAGGACAUUUCAUUUAACAACUCAGCUGGAGAAACCGUGUCCUUUACUGAUCAAAGAGAAGUGGGAGGGGGAUUUGACAUCAUGAACAUAGUCACGUUCCCGAACAGGUCCUUCCUUCAAUUGAAGAUUGGAUGGGUUGAUUCUGAUGCAGCUGAUGGAAAAGAAUUCAGCAUUGAUGAGGACAUGAUUAUAUGGCACAAUGAUUUUAACCAGGUCUGGAAUCUAGGCAGGGGUGACUACUUGAAAAAUAUAUUGGGGGGGGGGAUAAGCCCUGCACCGAUUAAUCAGUUGCAAGACGUGGCUCAUGCACACAUUUGGAAUGACAAUGCCCAUAACCUCUGGGAGAGGCUUGACCCCUCAAUUAUUUUACUGAGGGUGUAUUGAAUGGACCUUGGCCCCUAGAAGUUGGCUCCUAUGACUGUAGAGUUUACUUGUAGGCUCCACAUUCUCCUACUGAUGAGCAUACUGAUAUACUCCUACACUGAAUUCUUGUUUAAGCUACUUGUACAAUGACCUCUUAGGCCGGUGGGGCAGAGUAUGGAUGAUGUUUCAGGUUAACUUGUUUCAUUCACUUUGAGUUUGCGGCCUCAAAGGCAGUGUGAAUUUUAAAAAGGCUUACCAAAUACUGACAGGUUUAGGAGAGUCAUAGAAGUUUUGAAUAUCUGCCACAUAUGGUAUUUCCACUAUAAAGUUUCUGAUUUCUGAAAGUUAGUUAACAAAAUGACCCUAGAUUUAUCUGUAUUUUGUAUUUUGCCUCUUUCAUUCCAGUGUCUUAACAAAAAUGGGCUGAUGGUUGGACCAUGUAUGAAGCAGCAGUCCUAUGCCAAUGUUUCUGGGAUGAGAGAUCCCCUUUUUAUUUGAACUGCAGAAGCUGAAAUAUUCUUUCAAAUAUUUAUCCCUUCUGAAAUGAUUUCCUGUUUAUUAAUAGGUAAUGCCCAUUUCUGUGUGCAAUGACUACUGUCGUGCGGGCUAUCAGAAGAAAAGUAAGGAAGGACAGAAAUUUUGCUGCUAUGAUUGUACUCCAUGUCCAGAAGGGAAGAUUUCAAACCAGAAUGGUAUGUGACAGUUUUCAUUGUACAAGAUUAGCAAGUUUCUAUUGAAAACCACACUAUCCUGCUUCGAGUGGUGUGAAUAUUUUAUUGCUACUUUCCAGUAACACGUCAUCAAUACGUUCAAAAAUAAAAGAGCCUGGUGAAAUCCCAAAUUGGUGGAUCUGAAAUUAAUCCCCCCAUCCCCAAAAAUGAUUUCACUGUGCACAUAAUUUAAGUGAAGCCAGUGCUUAUUUUCCCAGUGUGCCUUCCCCUAAACAUUUUGUGUAUCUAAGUUUGGCCUCAGUGAGGAGCAAUAUUUCAAUAUGAGUAGGAAAAGAAGAGUACCCCUAAACAUUUCUUUUUUUAGAAAAAAAAAGCACCGAGUGAACCUGUCAAGUAGUAAAAUGGUACAGCAGUUGAAGAUUUGCAAAUAAUGUGUGUAGUCAGAAUGAAACAUUCUAGACAUCAUCCAUGGUGUUAUUAGGCCAGAACUUUAUUCAUUAUGCUUCAGGGAAGAGGAAAUGUCAUGGCACUAAUUCCAACCAGCAUUUGCUGUUUGAAUGGCAUUCCACUUGAUGUUGUAGCUGCUUUUGACAUCCUUCAGAGUUGAACAAGGUUGGAGCUUUGUAUUUGGCAAGACAGGCAUUCAGGUUCCCAGGAAGGAACUGUAUAUGUAUGGUGGGAGAGAGAGAUAGGCAACACUGGGCCCCAUCUGUCCAAGUGGCAUGCCUUGCUCUUAUCAAUUUAUAGACCCUUUACAGUCCACCCUAUUGCCUAACAAUGGCUACUGGCACUUACUGAAGGAAAGGCAAAAACAUCAUCACCUAGAGACAAUUAAAUAUGUGAGCAAAAUAUGUUUUGGUUUAUUUGGUCUCAGUUAACUGUCCUCCCAAAAAAACCAAGGUUCCACUCACUAUGCCAUCUUGGUGAAACAGCAUGGCCACUUACCAAGAUGUAAAAAACAAAACAAAACCUGUUUCAGAUUCAGCAGGAAUGUAGUGAGUAAUUCAAAUAUACAACCUGCUCUCUGACAAUAAAGAAGGUUCCAAAUAGAUCAACAGAAUCAAUAACGGCUACAUAGUAGACAAAAAUCACUGAUGAAUUGCAAAUGGAGUUUGACUUUCUUCUGUUUGUCAGAUAUGUCUGACUGCUUCAGAUGCCCAGAAGAUCAUUAUGCAAACAAGAAGAAAAAUGGAUGCAUCCCUAAAACUAUCAACUUUCUUUCUUAUGAAGAACCUUUAGGGAUCAUUUUGGCCUCACUUUCUCUUUCUUUUUCCCUGAUCACAACUUUGGUGCUUGCAGCGUUUAUUCAACACAAAGACACUCCAAUUGUCAAAGCCAACAACAGGGAUCUCACCUACGCUCUCCUCAUCGCCCUCCAAUUCUGCUUCCUUUCAUCGCUUCUAUUCAUUGGACACCCUGGCAAAAUGACCUGCCUUUUUCGCCAAACAACUUUCGGCAUUGUCUUCUCUGUGGCUGUUUCUUGUGUGUUGGCCAAAACUAUCACGGUAGUUGCAGCUUUCAUGGCCACCAAGCCUGGGUCCAGUAUGAGGAAGUGGGUAGGGAAAAAACUGUCUAACUCUGUUGUCCUUUCCUGCUCCCUCGUUCAAGCGAUUAUUUGUACUGGGUGGUUGAUGACCUCUUCCCCAUUUCCAGAUCAAGACAUGCACUCGGUAAUGAAAGAAAUCAUUGUGCAAUGUAACGAAGGUUCAGUGACCAUGUUUUACUGUGUCCUCGGCUACAUGGGCCUCCUGGCCAUUGCCAGCUUCAUUGUGGCAUUUGCAGCUCGCAAAUUACCUGACAGUUUUAAUGAAGCCAAGUUUAUUACCUUUAGCAUGUUGCUGUUUUGCAGUGUUUGGCUGUCUUUUGUCCCAACUUACCUAAGCACCAAAGGGAAAUCCAUGGUGGUGGUGGAGAUCUUCUCUAUCUUGUCCUCCAGUGCUGGAUUGUUGGUCUGCAUCUUUGCCCCUAAAUGCUACAUCAUUAUUCUGAAGCCAGAGCUGAACAACAGGGAGCAAAUGAUAAGGAGAAGGAUGUAAAUUCAGCCUUACUUCUUCUUUCUAUUCUAUUCUAUUGUUAUAUAUAAGGGAGUUUUCCGUAAAAGUGGUUACUUUGAGGUGAUACUCUUUUGUAGGAUCAAUUUGGAAUAUUUAGGGUUUUCAAAUUCAAGCAGAUUAAAAUCCGCUGUCACCUUAGCUCAGGAGUGAGGAACAACUUGGUGGUGGGCCCUGUUUUGCCCAGCUUAGGUGUCAAUUCUCAGGCCAUUCCUGGCAAAGCACGCCCACCUUAUUCUCAGCUGACAUCAUGUGGGACUUCAUAGGAACUAUCAAAAGCAGAAGGUGAGUUCCCAGAUUGUCUCUUCCCAGAAGAUCCCCCUGGAGGGAUGCUUCCAGCCUUCCCAGCCUCUCAAUUUAAAAGUCUUAUAAGAAGAUUCUGCAGUAGAAGGACUUUGAGGAACAUCAUGAGAGAGAUCUUUCUAAGAGCCUGUGAAACUCCUAUGUUAUCUUGUUAAGUUGUCUGUUGUUCAUGAAACUUUAUUGUAUUUAUUGGACUCAGAUGCAGCUUUUUAUUAUGUUUUUAUAUUUGCCACCAUAUUGUUCUAUUAUCCUGUUCUGAUACUAUAUUUGUGAUGUUUGAUUUUAACAUGUGUCCAUUUAUCCUUUGUUUAUGGGAAUUUGCCCACCAUUAUAAAAUCAUAGCACUGUAUGGUUGGAGGAGUCCCUCAGGGUCAUCUGUUCCAGCCCUUUAAAUGAUUGAACCUCAAUUAAGCAUAAUAAUAAUAAUAAUAAUAAUAAUAAUAAUAAUAAUAAUUUAUUAUUUAUACCCCGCCCAUCUGGCUGAGUUUCCCCAGCCACUCUGGGCAGCUCCCAAUCAAGUGUUAAAAACAGUACAGCGUUACAUGUUAAAAACUUCCCUGAACAGGGCUGCCUUAAGAUGUCUUCUGAAUGUCAGGUAGUUGUUUAUCUCUUUGACAGCUGAUGGGAGGGUGUUCCACAGGGUGGGCGCCACUACCGAGAAGACCCUCUCUCUGGUUCCCUGUAGCCUCACUUCUCGCAAUGAGGGAACCGCCAGAAGGCCCUCGGCGCUGGAUUUCAGUGUCCAGGAUGAAUGAUGGGGGUGGAGACACUCCUUCAGGUAUACAGGACCGAGGCUGUUUAGGGCUUUAAAGGUCAGCACCAACACUUUGAAUUGUGCUCAGAAAUGUACUGGGAGCCAGUGCAUCCAUGACAGAUGACUAUUCGACCUCUGCUUAAAAACCUUCAAUGAGGGAGAGUACACCACCUUCUGGGGAAGUCUAUUCCACUGUUGAACAGCACUUAUAAUCAGAAAGUUAAUCCUGAUGUUUAGUUGGAAUCUUUUUUCUAAUAACUUGCAUCCAUUGGAUGCGGCUCUACCCUCUCAAUGAUGUUAAUGACAAUGAUGUUGAUGAUGAUGAUGGGUAAUGGGAGCCCAUGAUGCUCCAGGAGGGGGAGAUAGUUUCCACUGAAAGUGAUAAUAAAAUGGGUGCAGGGGAGGGGAGCUUGGUUUUUGCUAGAGAAACUGCUUCCACCUCACUUAUCAAGCCACUUUGUAACUGUCCAUUUAAAAGACUCAUUGCCUUCUGAAUCCCAGUGGCAGACAGGUUGGUUGUCCCAUCCACCUAUCAAACAUUGUCCAUCGAGGACUGGGAGAAUCUGGCCAAAUGUGGGGAAAUGUUACUGACUCCUGCUUUAGGACAAGAAACUUAAUAAUAAAAACGAACUUUUGUUGAUAGAAAAGCAGUAGGGAAAGGCAUUGAAAAGUGUGGAAUGAAUGGUAGCUUGAUUUACUUUCAAUUCACUUAUAAAAAUGUAUUUUUUAUAUGGGACUGAUUUACCUUAUAUUACUUUGUUCUGUAAUACUGAAUUAUAUGUCUUUCAGUAAAGAAACAUGUUAACUGAAAUUAAAUAUCUGAGUGUCUUCCUUGAACCUUAAAUGCUUUGCUUGCUAAUAUCGAGCGGGAAUAAAUACGCUCCUCAAUGUGGUGGCCCUUUCUGGGAUAAUCUAAGAUGGUACUGUAAUUGCUGAACUAAAACUUUGAUACAUCAAAGGCAUCCUCAAUAUUUACAUUAUGUAGGGCAAUAUAUGCCCCACACAUUUAAGAACAGGACAGAACAAAUCAUAUGUUUUACUGGUCCCAGAAUAAUAAUAAUAAUAAUAAUAAUAAUAAUAAUUAAUAAUAAUUUUAUUUAUAUCCUAUCCUCCCCGGCUGAAGCCGGACUCAGGGCAGCUAACAUAAAAUAUAUAACACGGGUAUAAAAUCAAACAGUAAUUAAAUUACCUCCUAAAAACAGGUCAGGAUCGAAUUAAAAUCUAAUUAGAUGGCUUUCCACAGGAUUAGAGUUGGGAUCAGUAAAUACUCAUCAGGUCCAACUGUUUUCAACAGGUAUCUAAAAGAACAAACUUAUUGUGAAUGCCUAAAGCUAUUAGGAGUUCCAAAAGUGUUGCCACAUCUUAAAGGGAAAUGGCACUUUAAGUUGCCUUUAUCUCAAAAUUUAGCACUCCUGUUUACCCAAUGAAAUAACUCUGAAUUUCCCGUUGUCAUUAGCUUACCAGGAAAAAGUCUUUCGGUCACUGUAGUUCAUUGAUUUCACUCAUUAGCAAAUUCUCCUCUGAAACUGCAAAUUGAUGAACUUCAUUUGCAGUAUGGUGACAAAAUUCUACCAGCACAGACUUGCCUUGGCAAUGAGAACCACAUGAUCUUACCCAAUAUCACUUGAGGGUUAGAUAUCUAUGAUGUAUUAUUAUUAUCAUCAAUAAUAACCCCAACAACAACAACAACAAUUAUCUAUGCCUCCCCUGCCCUUCUUCAUAUUUUCAGUGCUUUUGCUUACCCAGAAUAUGACCUUGAAUUCUGAUAAUGUCUCGUGAUGCUCUGAAUAGGGAACAGAGCAACGUGAAUGUGUCGGACAGUAUAAAGUAGACAUGAAACCCUGUUAAAAUUUAGACUAGGUGUUCUGUGCUCUUCCCUUUCUGUUCCCACUCACCUAAGGCUUAAAGUUUAUGUAAGGUUACCCAGAAGAGAAUUCAUUAGUCAGGCUGAAAAUGAAAGCCCCCCCCCCCCCAAUAUACCAGUAGCUCCUGUUGGUUCUUGCAAAUGAAUGGUGCUAUUCAUUUUUAAAGUAUAGUUUGAUCUUAUUGAGAAGUGCUGAGUCCCAUUUUCUUGAAGACAACUGGAGUUGAGAAGUGGUCUUAAUCUCAAAAUUUAGAACUGCUACUUUAUAUCCUGAUGACAAUGUCUUCAGUCAAGAGUUUUCUGUUGUUCUUAGCACACCAAGGAAAAACCCUUCUGCCACUUUUUUCUUUCAUCUAAGCAGCAGGAUUGGGAGUAAAAAAAGUUAAAGUCUUACUCAGACUCUAAACUCUGAAUAAGUAAUUAAUAUUCCUUUUCUGCAAUUACUCAAAUCACUGCAAUUUCUUCUCCAGGUCAAAUCCCCAGUUGGCUUCCUGAAGGGAAGAAAAAAAUCAAUAAGCAAGCCUAAAAGUGUUUUAAAAAUAAGCUCAUAUGUUAUGGAGAGCUAGUGUAGGGGGAGAGACAGACAGGGCUCUAUGAGUUCAAUUUAGGAAAAUAUAAUUUCUGUUACUACUCAAGGAAUGUAUUUGCAACCCGUUGAUGAAAUGUUUAUCAUAAGCUAGGCUGUCAGGAUGUUGCUGCUAUUGGUGCUGCUGUUUCUAAUAACUCCUGUUUCUAUUACCUCUAAUUCUAUCCACUGCCCCAGGAAUAAUCCUUUUCCUGUUCUACAUGAGUGGUACCAGCCAGGUGAAUUCAUCAUUGGUGGAGUUCUUUCUCAGAGCUUUUACAAUUUCUAUGAAAUUUUGUAUAAGGAUCACCCAUCAAAGAACCUGUUUGAUGUUUCAUAGUAAGACUUUUUCAUUCCCCCUCUGGAUUGCCCUUUCCUUUCUUUCAUGCCUUUCAGACAGGAAUCCUAAAGGGAGGGCCUGUUUUAUCACUGACAUUUUCAAGCUGCAGUGGGAGCCAUAAUUUGCCUGAAUAUUUGAAUAAAAAAACCUUCUUUCUGUAUUUUUUUAAAAAAGAAUCUAGCCAUUGUCACAGUUUAUUUGAAUGAAAUGGUGUAUUUACAAUUGCUCUGCAGUUUACUUAUUGUGAGGAGUGGGGAAGAGAAGAGUGAAAAUGUAAAUAAAUAGUUAAGGUUACAUUACAGCUAAAGGUAGGUAGCCGUGUUGACCUGACAAAGUUUGUUCUUGGUAUAAGCUUUCAUGUGCAUGCUAGUAUCUGAAGAAGUGUGCAUGCACACAAAAGCUUAUACCAAAAACAAACUGAGUCAGUCUCCAAGGUGCUACUGGACAUUUUUUUUAUUUUCUAGAUAUAUAUUGAUUACAGAUAUAUUCAAAGAAUAAAAUUAUACACCAUUCUUCGAUCUCCCAAAGCUUCCUUGCCUUUUGAAGGAGUAUAAUAUUUUACUACCUCAUAUUCAAGAUCCUUUACAGACUUGAAUUUCUUAGGUUAGUUGUCUUGCCGCUGACAUUCAUGAGGGUAUUUGUCUUUCCAUUAUAUAUUUAUUUUGUGGCUCCUGAUCGGGGGGGGGGGACUCCAUGGGAGGAGUUAGAUCAUGGUGAAACUCCCUGGGCCAAAAUGUAAGUUCAGAAAGUUAUGGAGGGAUAUGGAAAUUGGUUGAAAUUUGUUGAGGCAGGCAGGGACUGCUACAGUUCACAUUAGAUAGCACAGAGAAACCUGAUAUUGUCAGAAUGGGGCAUUAUCCCAGAAAGAGAGGCUUACAUUGGGCUAGAAAACCUAAAGAAAUAGGAGACAAAUUUUGCCAUCAGCUAUGUAUUCUGGUGUGAAGGUAAAACCAGUGACAUCUGACUCCCCUUUGUGCAACAUCAAUGACUGUCCUUAGCUACAGUAGCCUGCACACCUGAAACCUGUAGUUCUAAUUUGCAAGAAACUUUCCUGACACUACCGCAAAUGUAUACAGUGGUACCUUGGGUUACAUAUGCUUCGGGUUACAUACGCUUCAGGUUACAGACUCCACUAACCCAGAAACAGUACCUCAGGUGAAGAACUUUGCUUCAGGAUAAGAACAGAAAUCAUGCUCCGGCGGCGCGGUGACAGCAGGAGGCCCCAUCAGCUAAAGUGGUGCUUCAGGUUAAGAACAGUUUCAGGUUAAGUACGGGCCUCAGGAACGAAUUAAGUACUUAACCCGAGCUACCACUGUACUGAGAAAAAAGCUAUCUGAAUUCAUAGGGCCAUUCGCAUAAGGGUGUAUAAAACUGCAGCUUUCAGUUAAAUGAAGUGGUUGGCUAUUUAAGGAGAAACAGAUUUGCUUUUUUGUUUUUCUUGAUCAACCGAGAUAGAAAUGUCAUGCAAUAGCAGAGCAGCAGGUAUGUGAAAGUAUCAUGCAAAGCAGCAAUGUCCUGAUCAUUGGACAGUAUGGAUUUUAUUAGCUUAGAUGUAUAAAUUACAAAUGCAACAUUUUCAUUUCAUUUUGAAACAGAAGAUGUCCAAUAUUGUAGUAUAUUCAUAUUUGUACCUAAUUUACUUUAUUUGCAGUAUGGUGCCAAAAUUUUAUCAGCACGUCCUUGCAUUGGCAUUUGCUGUGAAAGAAGUCAAUGAGAAUCCCAACAUCUUGCCCAAUAUCACACUUGGCUUCCACAUCUAUGACAGCUAUUAUGAUGCAAGGAUGACCUAUCGUACGACUCUAGAUCUCCUCUUCAAAAUGAGGACAUUUGUCCCCAACUACAAAUGUGACACCCAGAAAACCCUCAUAUCGACCAUUGGGGGACUUGGCCAUGAUACCACCUUCCAUAUGGCAGACACAUUAGGUAUCUACAAGAUUCCACAGGUAAGAGGUAUGAAGGCGUCAAUGAGAAUCUUUUCUUCCUGCCUCUAAGGGUUGCUUUCAUGUUUGGUUCUAGACGGAGUGGACCUAUUGGGAAGUAUUCUAGUCAAUAGUUUUACUGAGAACAGACUCAUCAAAAUUAAUGCAUCCAUCUUAGUUAUGAUCAAUAAUUUAAAAUUUAGUUAUGUACAAGCCUUAUAUAUCAUUAUCCCGUAUUCCUUGUAUAUUGCUUUUUCUGCUUUAUUUCUAGGGAUAUGUGAUUGAUCUGGUCACAGCUCAAAUCAAAAUGUGCAAUUAGAAAAAAAAGGUUAGAAUCUGUUGAAUAAAAAGCCAAAAGAUAUAGGAUGAAUGUUUUCCAUAUAACCUGAAAAUAUAUGUACAUUUUCUUUCAGUUUGCGUAUGGUUCAUUUCCCCCAGUGAAGAGUGAUGCAAGUCAGGUUCCUUCCUUUUACCGCAUGGUGCCCAGUGAAGCCCACCAGUUUCUUGGGAUUAUCCGCUUGCUUAAGCAUUUUGGAUGGAAGUGGAUCGGACUCUUUGCUCUGAAUGAUAACAGUGGAGAACAUUUCUUGCAGACCCUGGAGCCAUUGCUUUCUCAAAAUGGAAUUUGCUCAGCAUUCACACAAAAAAUUCCAAAAGAAGUCCACUUUGAUAAUGUGGAUGAUAUGCAUCAUAUAGCUUUCCAUAUGUAUAUACAAAUCAGAGAUAAUAAGGUCACUACAUUUAUUGUUUACGGAGAAUCUUUGGCAAUUAUAUCACUGAGAAUUAUUAUAUUUCUCCCAGAUCCUACAAAUAAGAAAAACACAUCGUUUAAAAAGGUAUGGAUCUUUACAGCAAGGACUGAUUUCAUAUCUAUGGGUCUUCUUAAGGUCUGGAAUGUUCUGCUCUUCCAGGGUUCCCUUUCCUUCACAAUCCACUCACAAAAUCUUCUAGCAUUCAAGGAAUUUCUUCAGAGCAUAAAGCCUUCCCAGAGCCAGGGAGAUGGUUUCAUCAAAGGCUUCUGGGAGCAAGCAUUUGACUGUAUUCUUCCCAAUUUCAAUGCACCAAUGGAGGUCUAUGGUAUGUGUACUGGAGAGGAGAGAUUGCAGAAUCUUCCAAGGUCUCUGUUUGAAAUGAGCAUGACUGGUCACAGCUACAGCAUCUAUAAUGGUGUCUAUGCUGUGGCUCAUGCCUUGCAUAACAUUUACUCCCCUAGAUCCAAGCAGAGAGGAAUGUGGAAAAGUGAAAGAUUAAAACAUCAGAAUCUGGAGCCUUGGCAGGUAUUGUUCUGAGAAUGAAGAGAAAAAAUAUUAUCAUUAUCUGCAUGACUUUAUCUACCACUGGAACUUAAGAUAUUUCUGCUUGGUUAUCUAAUAAAACUAUUAUUAUUUAGAAGUCAUCUGAAGGCAGCCCUGUAUCGGGAAGUUAUUAAUGUUUGAUUAUAUUUUAAUAUGUGUUAGAAGCCUCCCAGAGUGGAUGGGGCGACCUUGCCAGAUGGCUGGAGUAUAUAUAAUAAAUGAUGAUUAUGAUUACAUAGUAUUCCUGAAUAUUAUCAAGAAAUUUAAUUCAUCCGCAUAAACUGCUGCUAAGACUACAAUAGCUAAGAAUAUCUGAAUGGUUGGAGACAAUUUGGUCCAUAGUAACUAUGAUUACACCAACUUAUAAAAGAAUACAUAUAAACCAGCCUAACAGCUCUAUGGGAAAAAACAUAAUUUUUGUUAUAUUUUGGAAAAAUAAGUUCAGUUAUAAUGUCCAAGCUUAUGCUGCUUUCAACCUCUAGUAAUUGUAUUUAUUUAGGAUCUUUAAUUUCUUUUAUUUAUUGUUAAAAGAAAAAAAAAUAAGGACUUUAUCAAAUUAGGAAUCAGAAGUUCUGUUUAAAUGGUAUUGAAAAAUUGUAUUCACUGAAAAAAAUUAGUGUUUGAAUCUUAAAUUGUGUACUUCUUUUUGCCAAAUAAUAUUUUUCUUAGAGUUCUUCACCAUACGAUAACAUAACAGCUACAAAAACUACAGUCAAAACAGGAAGAAUGCCGAGUCCUUUCCUAGAGGCGAUUCACAGCUCUCACCUGAGAUCCCUCCUAUUUCCUCCCUUCCUCUCACUUUGGGGGCUAAUGCUUCCCUGUCUCCCACCUGGGCCCUCCAUCACCACCCCUAUGAAUAGUUAAUCCCUGGGCCUUAACAAGUGCCCCAAAUAUAGGACCUCACAAGAAAAAAAGAAAAGAGGGAAAGGAGAAAAUAAAGGGAAUAUUAGAGAUGAAUAAAAAGGGCUUCCAAUGCAUAAUAAAGUCUAUCUGUUGUGUCAAAAUCACAGAUAUUUUGCACAUGUUCUUUGUUAACUGAACCUAUGUUAUUAUACCUAAAUAAGAUUCAUGAAGACAUUUUUCUGUAAACCAUGGCAUUUUAUUCAAAAUCUCAUUUAUGCCGAUUCCCAUUCAACUUCAUUUUCUCUUUCUAAUAGCUGCAUCCUAUUCUUCAUGACAUUUCAUUUAACAACUCAGCUGGAGAAACCGUG